GAUUGUCCAAUAAUUUGAGCUAAUUCCUGGGCUAGGUUACAAGCUUCCUCUUCUUCUGUUAAUAAUACACAAGAAGAGAGGGAAAUUGGCCAAUUAUGGCCAGGAGGUACAGCUGUAGGUUCUGACCUUGGAGUAUUUGCAGAAUUGGCGUCUUUCUUUAAGCAGCAAUAGUUUGUUAUUUUCGUCUGCUUUGGCUGUUUUGCUGGAGCUAAGCUCAGAUUCAAAACAUCCACUGGCGUAAGGCCCAACUUUUUAUAGCUUUCUCUGAAGCUUUGAGUGUCUGUGGACUGCUGCAGCCCUUACUCAGACAUUGCCACUGGAGGAACAGCUUCAUCCCUUUCAGCCUGAUGAUUGGAUCUGGAUCAAGUCGGUUUCCAAGACUUCGCCGCUAGCUCCUUCCUGGUUGGGCCAAUUCCAGAUUCUUCUUAUGACCCACAUAGCGGUCAAGGUUGCUGAGCGCAGUACCUGGAUUCAUCACAGCCACAUCAAACCUGUCGUUGUUGACCACAGCCAAGACAUUGCCAGUCCUAUUCCAGCUCUCAAGUUAAGGAGAGACCCAGAAGAAGGCUGCAAAAUGUGAUACAGUUAGGUAUGGAUCAAGUGGAAAAGAAACAUGCUGCUAGAGUCUACACAUGUUCACGCAAUAGUAAGACACACUGAGUUCAGUGGGUACUCCAAGAUCCUGCAGCUGAAGCUCAGCAUUCAUAAGAUGUUGAACCUGUUUUAGUCAAGCUAAACUAGUCACUAAUGGUGUCUCUGAGCUGUAACCUGUCUGGAGCCUGCUUUCAAACACAACAAAUACUCGAUCUAGCAGAAAGAGGCAUUUGUGACUAGAAACUAUUGCUGUGCAGAUUUCAGUGUGUUAGCAAAGCCUUAUCAGUUAAUGGUUGGCCAAACAAAACAAAGUCCAGAAAUAAUGGAUAAUUCGACAAGGCAUUAAGCAGAAGUAAACGAGCAAUUUCCUUGGCUGAGGCUCUGGAUUCCAUUCUCAAUUUGUUUUUGCUUGGAAACACAAGGAACUUUGAUUAGUUCAAUCCAAUGACAGCACAGAGCGCAAUACCAUGAAAUUAGUGUUUUGCAACACAAGGUUCAUGUGGCCAUUGCAUUUAUACUUGGCAGUUCUGGCCAUGUUUUAUAAAUUUGUUGGCAUAAAGUCUUCAUUAGAGUAAGCAAUCCCAAAACUUACAAUGUUCCACACACUUCUGGGGCCAAAUGAUACAUCAUGCUAAACACAUCACUUCAAUCUGUAUAUCUUUCAUAAGCUCUAAAUCAGAAAUGGGACAUCUGUUAUCCUCCAGAUGUUGUUGAACUAUAACUCCCAUCAUUCCUGAUUGUUGGCCAUGCUGACUGGGACUGAUGAUAGAUGGUAGCCCAUGUUGGCUAACUUUGGUGUAGCUCUUGGUGGAAAAAAGUAGCCAUUUCAGUAGU